CCUACGGGUGACAGCAGUGGGGAAUAUUGCGCAAUGGGCGAAAGCCUGACGCAGCAACGCCGCGUGAGGGAUGAAGGUCUUCGGAUCGUAAAACUCUGUCAGCAGGGAAGAACGGUCACUGUGCUAAUCAGCAGUGAAUUGACGGUACCUGCAAGGGAAGCACCGGCUAACUCCGUGCGAGGAGCCGCGGUAAUCCGGAGGGUGCGAGCGUUACUCGGAAUUACUGGGCGUAAAGCGCUCGUAGUCGGUAUGUCAAGUCAAGGGUGAAAUCCCCGCGCUCAACGUGGGAACGGCCUUUGAAACUGGCAAACUGGAGUGUGUGAGAGGAUAGUGGAAUUCCAGGUGUAGGAGUGAAAUCCGUAGAUAUCUGGAGGAACAUCAGUGGCGAAGGCGACUAUCUGGCACAUAACUGACGCUGAGGAGCGAAAGCGUGGGUAGCAAACAGGAUUAGAUACCCGAGUAGUC
rnacentral:rRNA from 1 species